AUUGAACGCUGGCGGCAGGCCUAACACAUGCAAGUCGAACGGUAACAGGAAACAGCUUGCUGUUUCGCUGACGAGUGGCGGACGGGUGAGUAAUGUCUGGGAAACUGCCUGAUGGAGGGGGAUAACUACUGGAAACGGUAGCUAAUACCGCAUAACGUCGCAAGACCAAAGAGGGGGACCUUCGGGCCUCUUGCCAUCGGAUGUGCCCAGAUGGGAUUAGCUAGUAGGUGGGGUAACGGCUCACCUAGGCGACGAUCCCUAGCUGGUCUGAGAGGAUGACCAGCCACACUGGAACUGAGACACGGUCCGGACUCCUACGGGAGGCAGCAGUGGGGAAUAUUGCACAAUGGGCGCAAGCCUGAUGCAGCCAUGCCGCGUGUAUGAAGAAGGCCUUCGGGUUGUAAAGUACUUUCAGCGGGGAUGAAGGGAGUAAAGUUAAUACCUUUGCUCAUUGACGUUACCCGCAGAAGAAGCACCGGCUAACUCCGUG
rnacentral:rRNA from 1 species